CAGAGAGACACACACACACACAGAGAGAGAGAGAGAGAGAGAGAGAAUGUUUUGUGUGUUUGUAUGUUGUAUUUAUAACAUUUUUAUGUGUAUUAGAUGGGCUCUAUUAGGGCAAAUGAAAAAAAUUAGAAGGGGCAAAAAAAAAAAGCUGCUUGAUGAUAGUCAGAUUGAUUUUUAAGAAGAGAUGAUCUUUUGAUAAAUCCCUAAAGGUAAGGGGUUAUACAAAAUAUCCUGAUUUAGAAUAUUAGUUUAGAGCAAAAUGUGAUUCAGUUAUCCUUUAAAAAUCCUCCCUACAAAAAUUGAUUGGACACUAACUUUGGUUACUUUUCACGUAGUAGGUCUCUUGACUAGCUCUGUAAUGUUAUAUAUCAUGGGCAAUCUAAAUCGUGGUUGCAAAUUACUUUUCACAUAUUGUGGGAAAGAGAGAGUGGGGACCUGUUUUCUUUUUUCCCUUUUUAUUUCUUUUUUUAGGUGUUGGUUGGCGCAGCUUUGGAUGGAGGGAGAGGGAGAGAGGUUUAGGUGAUGAAGCUCAGAUCGUCAGCAUGCAUGGUGAACCUUCUAGUUUGAAUUUUCGUGAACUUGGUGCUUCAAGAAUCUGUCCAUCUCCUGUCCGACGUCUACUUUAAAACCAUAUGGUUGAUGAAGCUUGCAAAUUCCAGGUUGAGCUCUUUUGGUCCUGGCAGUUUAUUAUGUUGUCCUGCUCCCUUCUUACAUAUACACAGAUUACAGAAUAUAGACCUUAAGAUUUGAUUUUUUUUUUUUAAUAAUAUGCAUGCAAAUGUUCAUUCAAA